GAAAGAAAAAAAGAAAAAUUGGAGAUUUCUUCUUAGACUUGGAUUGAAGCCUAAUUUGGAGGUUCGGGUGACACGUGGAUACGAGGUGAGUGAUUUAAUACCUAAACACAUGGUUUUGAACUUGUUUUCCUUAUCGAACUUAUUUGAACAAGUUUUAUAAAUUGUGUACUCCAUGGAUACCAAUGGAAGGUGGAUCUAUUUGUGAAAUAUUUACGAAUCUAUUUAAUGGCAUUCCCAACGUCCGGUCUUGCUAGGGGACGGCUUAAUGACUAACAAGGGUGUUUGAGGUUGGUGUGUGUUUUGGGAUAAUGCGUAGACGUCUGGCUUAUCCACUACCAGGGACGCCUGGUAGCUUUGAAUUUUGAAUAGCGGAAUGUGCAUUAUAUUUGGCCUAUGGAUUUGAGUUCUUAUUUUGAAAUUCUAUCAAAUUAUUUUGCAUUGUCCAUGGAAGGCAUGUGAGUUAUGUAUUAAUCAUUCACACGAGCUUUGGCUUAUGUAUUUUCUUUUCCACCUUUCAGGAAGCAAUGUGUAGGGUGGCGUGAUGUUUUACUUUUGGAGUGUGUCGUAUUUCUUUUUGGAAACUUGUAUAGAGGAAAUUGUGCUUGUGGACACUUAACUUUGUACAUGGUUUGUUAGCUUUUGAGUUUGUAGUUUGUAAGUAAGCACAUCUCUGAUAGGUUUACUUUUGGUUUGUAAAACCUAUGUAAGACUUUGAUUUGUUAUCAAUAAAAGUUGACUUUUGCUUC